UACGGGGGGGGGUAAGCGUUGUUCGGAAUUACUGGGCGUAAAGGGCUCGUAGGCGGCCAACUAAGUCAUACGUGAAAUCCCUCAGCUUAACUGGGGAACUGCGUGUGAUACUGGAUGGCUUGGAUUUGGGAGAGGGAUGCGGAAUUCCAGGUGUAGCGGUGAAAUGCGUAGAUAUCAGGAGGAACACCGGUGGCGAAGGCGGGGUCUCUGGGCCGAUACUGACGCUGAGGAGCGAAAGCGUGGGGAGCGAACAGGA
rnacentral:rRNA from 1 species